AUUAGUGUUUCUCAGGGAUGAGCUCCUAAUUGAAUAUCCAAUACCAAGUGGUCAGUCCUGAAAUCAGGACUUUCCUAUACACUCUGAAAACAGAUGCUUCAUUCUUAUUAUUUACAUUAAUAGGAUGGCAAUGUUCCACGAGGACACAGCUACAAGCAGCCAGCUUGACUGAGUUUUAGCUUUUAGAAUUCUCUCACCUCUGGGCUGAAAAGCUUGUGUCAUCACAAGGCAUUUUCUUGUCUAGUACCUGCCCUUGCUGUUUGCUCUUGUUAUCCUAGCUGAGUGAGUCUGGGGACACAGGUCUGUGAUCCCAGCUACUUGGGAUGUUGAGGCAGGAGGACACAAGCUCAAAGCCAGCCUGGGCAAUUUCCUGAGACUCUACCUCAAAAGAAAAGAACAUCUCUGCAUGAGUGCCGUGGACUUUAAUUAGACCAGAGUUGUGAUGGCUAAUCUUGGUUGUCAGCCUGACCCUUUGGGAAGAAUGAACCCCAGCUGCAGAACUGACUCCCUCCGCUUGGCCUUUCCUGCCUUGCGCUCCUGUGGCGACUUUUCACAGUGAUGGAGCGUGGCCUGUGAGCCGAAGAAACCCUUUCUCCUCUGGUCGCUUUUGGUCACGGUGCUUGCGGCAGCAACCGAGAAACAAACUAACACAAAGAUUGGUACCUGGAAUGUGAAGAACCUCCAUGUUGCAUUUUUGGAGGGUCAUGGAAGGUGUUUUUGAGCUUUGGACUGGAAAAGUCAUCGAGCACAUAGACCUUAGUGUGCUGUUCUUUGGGAACUUGGAAGAUGAGCGUGUUGAGAGAGAUGCAUUUGGUGGAGGUCUGGGUUGUGAAGUUUCAGAUAAAAGCAAAGACCCUAGCAGGGCCAUCUGUAUAAUAUAUUCGAAUUAAGA